AGAGAUUGGAAUAUUUGCAGUAGAAGGAGCAUUUCCUGGCCUUGGAGGUUGACCCUCUCGUCCCGGGACAGCAUGGCGCAAACCCAGCACUUUCGUGCAGCGCUGGGAGCAUGAGCGGGGAAAUGGAGCCGGGGUGCGAGACCUUGGGCUUUUUCUUUCGUGUAACUGUGGGACACUGGGGACCCGGGGCAUGAUUUCGACCAGGCAGUCGAUAGAAUCUACAACGAAUCUCGCACGCCGGUCAGGUUUAGUCGUUCGUAGAAAAGACUUUCCGUGAAAGUGGGAGAAUCUGAUUUGUUUGGAAGAGAAACGAAAACAGCAAAAACCUGCGUGCCUCCCCGUCGGGGAAUCGAACCCCGGUCUCCCGCGUGACAGGCGGGGAUACUCACCACUAUACUAACGAGGACCGGCUCUGAUCAGGGAUUUCAGGUACGCCUUUUAAGCAUUUUCAAGUUCCCCUGUGUAUCACUAUAUAUCAAAGGGUUCAAUAUUUUCUUUUAUUCUUUCCGUUCAAAACCGAAGAACAAAAGUCCUACUUGACUUAACUCCAUCUUAGGGAAGCUGUCCCCUGCUCGGUCCUUGAUUUAGUUGCGCGGGUUUCGGGGAACAGGAAUUCAUACACAGAAAGCCCAAAUUAAUGAGCAGACAUCAACAAACACGUGACAGACAUUAAUAAACGUUUCCGAGAGGCGAGAAAUGGAGGCAGGGGAAACACAGCCGCGUUAGAAUUCUCCACAUUGCGCGGAAGUUUCCCUCCGCUCCCAUUUCCCGUGGAUACCGCUCGGAGCCGGGUUUAAAGAAAGCGAAACUGUUUAUUAAUCGCGGAGAAUUAGCCUCCCUGUUCCGGUUUUUUCCAACCGCCUUUCGCGGCGGGGGGGAAAAAAAAAAAAAAAGCGACUGCCGAAACCCGGGAUCGAACCAGGGACCUUUAGAUCUUCAGUCUAACGCUCUCCCAACUGAGCUAUUUCGGCUGCUGGUAAGGCGCCGCUUCGCUCAGAUCCUCCUGGUCGUGGUGCCGGCCCUGGGUCCUCCGCCCUGGACAUCCGAUGCGGAAAGUCCAGAACCAGCUGGAACCCACGUCGACCAGGCUCGCCGGCAUCUACUCCUUCUUGUCCUUCAAGGUCACCGCCUCCGAGAAGCCCUCCCGGAUCACGCCUCCCAACCUGACCCCAGCCCCUUACCGUUUACUGUUAGGGAACAAAGUCAUGUCUCGGGUGCAACUCCCCAAGCAGCCUAAGGUGUGGCAGAGGUGCUGACCACGUCAAGGCGUGUGGGGACACAACAGGCAGAUUGUGACUUUCCUUGGGGCAGCGAGUGACUCAGAUCCAGCCUCCACGCGUGGCCACCAUUCCCGCGGCAUCUGCUCAGCUUCAAGGUGUGAAGAGGUCAACAGGUUGGCGUCCAAGUUCGGCUCUACUUCCCCUCCUUUUGGGAAAUGGAAGAGGAGUGUUGUCUGGGAGGGGGUGGGAGUGGGGAGGUCCUUCAUGACGUGAGGUCACCUCACAAGUGUUUGCUAAGCACCUAAUGACCAUCUGGUCCAGUCACAAAUGCACUAACCAGAUAUUCAGCAUAAUAGCAAUGCUCAUAAGCAAAAAAGACCAAAGUUAUUUGUAGGUAGGCUUUUCCUUUUGCAUUUAAAGUUUGUCUCCCUCAUGGCAAAAUUCCAUGCAUGGAUUAUCAAGUUAGAUGGUGGAAUACACGGGUUUCCAGGCGCUUUCUGAAUAGGCUGAAGCCAUUUACACUCCCAUCCGCCCAUCCCAUUCCUUCCUUCCCCAAACAAGUCUUGAUCUGUUGUUACAAUUAAUUUUUUUUGUUAAAGUUAAUUUUUUAAAAAUUCAGGUGAGAUUCGCGUAACAUGAAAGUAACCAUUUCAAAGCGAA